rnacentral:lncRNA from 1 species
AUGUGAGACAAAUCUUGGUGACGUAUCCUUGGACCAAGCUGCUAUCAUGUCGUUUCGACUUGAUUUCUUCAUCUCAAAACCGUUACAGGGUGCAUUGAACAUUGCCAUUAACGACCUCCUUAAAUCCUUCUACCCACUCUAAGCACGAUUUUUCAUUCAAUGUAUCUUCCCUCUUUCAAGCGGUGGAUCUCUAACUAUAAAAAGGUGAGUCUUGGACCCGUAGACAGACCUUUCUCCAAAAAUAC